UCGGAAGGUGCGGCUGGAUCACCUCCUUUCUAAGGAGUAAUUGCCUACUGUUUAAUUUUGAGAGCUUAUUGUUCUCAAAAUUAGUACUUUGAAAACUGCAUAACAUUUAGUGAUGAUUAAAUAAACCAAUUAUAAGAGAAGAAAACUCUUUAAAAAAUAACACUUUUAAUAACU
rnacentral:misc_RNA from 1 species